UCAUAGCGACUAUCGUGGCAUAUCAAUAAGCGGAGGAAAAGCAACUAACAAGGAUUCCCUUAGUAACAGCGAGUGAAGCGGGAAGAGCUCAAAUUUGAAAUCUUCAAGGUUCUACCUUGACGAAUUGUAGUUUAUAGAAGUGUUUUCUGUUAGUGGAGUGGCAAAAGUUCUUUGGAAUAGGACAUCAUAGAGGGUGAGAAUCCCGUAUUUGGUCAUUCCUCCUAGCGUUGUGAUACACUUUCAACGAGUCGGAUUGUUUGGGAAUGCAGUCCAAAAUGGGUGGUAAAUUUCAUCUAAAGCUAAAUAUUGGCGAGAGACCGAUAGCGAACAAGUACCGUGAGGGAAAGAUGAAAAGAACUUUGAAAAGAGAGUUAAACAGUACGUGAAAUUGUCAAAAGGGAAGCGUUUGACACCAGUGUUGUUUUCUCGAAAAUCAAUUAAAAAAGGCCGGAUUUUGUGUUGUAUUGACCUUAAAAGCUUUCUUCACUCUUUUCUUGUCUUUUUUAAUGCACUUUUCGUUUAACAAGUCAACAUCAGUUUCUUUUGUUGUAAAAGGGUCAUUGGAAGGUGGCUUUCUUUUCGGAGAAAGUGUCUAUAGCCUUUGAUCUCUGCAACCGGAGAGACUGAGGUCUGCAGCGUAGACUCUUCGGGGUUAAAUACAUUUGUGCUAAGCUAUAGCUUUUUAUAGACAACUUGUUGACUAUAUUUAGUCUUGUGGCUUACUCGCUUAUGCUAUUUUACCUACGCUUAGGAUGUUGAUAGUCACAGCGUGUAC
rnacentral:rRNA from 1 species